GAUGAACGCUAGCGGCAGGCUUAACACAUGCAAGUCGAGGGGUAGAAGGAGCUUGCUCCUUUGAGACCGGCGCACGGGUGCGUAACGCGUAUGCAAUCUACCUUUUGCAGAGGAUAGCCAGAGAAAUUUGGAUUAAUACCUCAUAGUAUGUGAGGAUGGCAUCAUUUUCACAUUAAAGUCACAACGGCAAAGAUGAGCAUGCGUCCCAUUAGCUAGUUGGUAAGGUAACGGCUUACCAAGGCUACGAUGGGUAGGGGUCCUGAGAGGGACGAUCCCCCCACACUGGUACUGAGACACGGACCAGACUCCUACGGGAGGCAGCAGUGA
rnacentral:rRNA from 1 species